CGGAAACUUUCCCCUCUUCCUCUGUUCCCGCCCGGCGACCGCACAACAACGGGGCAAAAUGGCGGCGCCCACGAACGAGGAGGGUCCCGCUUCGGAGCCCGGCGCCGCUCCUUACGGGAACUUCCCCAAUUACUCCCGCUUCCACCCGCCCGAGGGCCGCCUCCGCCUGUUACCCGAAGGACUCCUGCGGCAGCUGUUCCCCUCGGACGCCCGCCCGCUGCUGGGGCUCGACGUGGGCUGCAAUUCCGGGGAGCUGAGCGUGGCUCUGUACCGGCAUCUGCUCGGCCUUCAGGAGGGCAAAGGAAGCCCAGAGCAGCCUGCAGAUGGGAAGGAUCUGCACCUUCUGUGCUGCGACAUUGAUCCGGUGCUCAUCGAGAGGGCUCAGCAGAGCAGCCCCUUCCCUAACUCCAUAUCCUUUGCCAACUUGGACAUCAUGGACUCCAGCUCCAGAGAGCCGUUUCUCACCUCCUACCUGAGCCGUUUUGGCCGUUCUACCUUUGACAUCAGCUUUUGCAUGUCUGUGACCAUGUGGAUCCACUUGAACCACGGGGACAGAGGCCUGGUGGAGUUCCUGGCCUUCCUGUCCUCUCAGUGCAGGUACUUGCUGAUUGAACCCCAGCCUUGGAAGUGCUACAGAGCAGCUGCCCGCCGCCUGCGGAAGCUGGGCAGGAACGACUUCGAUCACUUCCGAUCUCUUGCCAUCAAUGGGGAUAUGGCAGAGAGGAUCACACAGAUCUUAACAAGGGACUGCACCAUGGAGCUGGUGUGCUGCUUUGGGAGCACCAGCUGGGACAGAAGCCUCUUGCUUUUUAAAUCAAAUGGCUCAAAUCACGACGGCAGGGAGCCUUCAGAACAGCAGCAGUGACUGACAAAGGGGCUCUUGUGCUCCUGAGUUUGUAGGCAAGAUACAGAGUCACAUACAGGAUUCCUACAUCCCUAUCGGGUUCAGAUCUUGACCUUCCUAGGGAGUUUGGGGCAACUAAUAUCUGUGCAUUGUUAUGUCUGUUCUUUUUCCUCUUCACAUCUGCAAAAUGUGGUGGCAGUUCUGACCUAUCUUGUGGGUUCUGAGGUUGCUGUUCCUAGAAAGUGCUGUUGAAAUCCAAGCUGCUAUAUAUAUCGUGAUUUCUUACCAAGAAUGUUCCCUGGAAGAAGGGAGAACUUGCCUUUUUUUUUUUUUUCCCCACACAGCUUUUGGAGGAAAGAGGAGGCAAAUCCAUUUCUACUGACUCAUGUGAUGCAGUUUGUUCUGCUUCUUGUUGUGUUUUCUAGAUAGAAGGCUUAAGGAAAACACACAGCCUGCUUUACCAGCCAUGAAUGAGUAAGUUGGAUCAUUGCAGAAUGUGUCUGGUUGGUAUCUUGGUCACACUGUGUCCUGUGCACCUUUACAGAUGGGAUUUGCCUGGUUUGGAAGCUCAGUGGUGUGAACUUUCUUUGGAGUGAAGGAUUUCCUUGAAGAGCAUGUAUUCAUUGAAGAGUAUAACAAAGUUAUAUAUGAAUCCCACUUAUCUCUUUGAUAAUGAAGCACCUAUGACGUUGGCUGCAAUCUAUGGCUCGCUGCUUUUGUUCUCCAGGAAGGUGUCAUGAGAUGAGACAGCUGGGAGCCCAGCUCCAUGACACAGCAACAGAAGAAAGCCUGUGGAUCUCAGCUGCUGUGCUUAUGAGGAGGCUGGAUCCUGAGCAAGCCCAGCAGGGGGACCCUCCAUGCAAGAGGGGCUGCCUGGCCCCAUAAAUCCUGACCCCCUCCCGGCGUUCCCAACCCUGUUUGCUUCCUGCGUCAGUGCUCCCGGUUGCUCAGCCACUAGCUCACACAACAUCUGCCUGUGGCAUCGUGGCUCUGGUCUGGACAAGCUCACCUUUCCAGGUCUCAGAGAUAACCUCCCAUGCUGGAAAGAGGAGCAUCCCACUCUCUACUGAGACCUGUUGGAGGUUCCCACAGACUCCCACUGCCAGCAGGUGAUGUUGUUGCUCUGUGACGUGAAUGCUGUGUGUGCAGUGGGGAGAAUAGGUCAGGAGGUGCUGGGAAAUGAGCAGCACCAUCGUUUGGAUUCAUGCCUUCCAUGGAACAAAACGUCGUCCUCCUCCAUGUACUGAUCCCCAUCCUCUCUGCCCCCACAUCAGUGCUCUGUCCUCCUGGAGGGCUGUGCAGGAUUAUAUAUGGGCAAACACCAAAAGGCCAACCCAAUUUCCAUUUUGUUUCAGGUAAGGCUUCUUUCAGACCCGUGACAGCCUUGUGGAAACGCAGGUAUUUGGGUGGGGAGUGCGUUGAAGCAGCAGCUGCUGUGAGUCCCUGGUAUGCCUGGAGGUGGAGGCGUGGGACCUAUUGGCACUCCCACCCCAUAAGCCCAAGGGCAGUGAGCUGACACAACUCUCCUGGAAUCUGUCCCGCUCUAACCAGGAUUGUUGGCAGGCAGGCACCGAAUCUUGGCAGCACAACAAGAGAAUGCUGGUUUCUCUGAAAUUCCUGGGCUCGUUUGGUCAGGGUGCUGGCAUGCAGAGCCGGGGAAGAGUUGGCACGUGCGUGGCUGCAGCAGAGCAGUGGGGCCUGGAAAUGGACUGAGGGCUGGCAGCUCAGGAUCUCUCCUGCAUCCCUACCAGCUGGUAGCAGCUUUGGGUCUUGAUGGGGUUUUUGAAUGUUCUUAAUUUCGUCACUAAUCUGUAAGUGGUAGUCCAAUUUUGUCCUUCAUUUCUCCUCUCAGGGUGAGCUGCCAUGCCAGGCCUGGGAGCCACUGUGCUAAUAGGCUGUCAGCCCCAUCACACCAGUUCUGGCAGUGCUGGGAAUCCCACCAGUGACUGGGAAAUGGCUCCCUCCAGCUCCUGUUCCCCUAACCCAAAGGUAGGCUGAGGGCAUCCCAAAGCUGCAGCUCCUUUAGCAGGUCUGCACAGGCACUGCUGUCUCCCAGGCACUAUUUGGGAGGUAGAGACCCUAGGGCUGCCCUGUGCAAGUGAAGCACAGGUGGAGGUGGAAACAAAGCAGCCAGGCUGGCUGCAGUACAGAACAAGAGGUUUUUUCACAUGUCUGGGACAGUGAAUGACUGGAAAUAGUUGGAAGAAAGGUGGGAUUUGUGAGAUGCAACAACUGUGUUGGGGCAGCCCUCCCUUGCAGCACUCAAACUGAGCUCAUUCACAAGGAGUCUAAAGGGCUGCAAGAGAGGAAAGCCCCAGCUAUGCUCUGUGCCCAAUGGUAGAUUCAUACAGGGCAGAAUUUCCCUAUCUUGUGCCAGUUUGGAGCAAGACUAUGCGAAUUCUGUCUCCUUGCCCUGCUGCAGGUAGAGCUUGGCAUGCCUGCCUGAGGAGGCAGGGCGUGGGAGGGAAGGUUGGGCCUUGGCAAACUGGGCAUGGUUCAGGUGUUUGCCUUCCUCCUGGAUUGGCCAAGGAGAGAAGAACUUGGCCUUAUAUGGUCAAAAAAGCCUAUGCCGGCGGUGCUCCUCCCUGUGAAGAGACACGUGGGGAGGUGUGGAUGGGCUGAUGGGGUCAGGCGUGUUUUCCUCCAUCCUCCCCUGCUCUCCCUUUCCUUCUCCAGAUACCCUGGAGACAAUUAUGGCAUUUGCUUUGCAGCCAAACGUGGCUGAUUCCUGGGGCUUGCAAAAAGGCUGCUUCCCUCAGCGGGUGCUGCUGGUUUUGUGUGCCCCCAAGAGCUGAGAGGUGAUGGAUGGGCACAAAAUGGUGCCUGUGGUCAGAGUUGGGUAUUUCAUCAAGCUCGGGUAUCUGGGAAGAUGGUAGUAGUGGUACAAAUCAUUGCUUCUCUGCUGGUUAAACCUCUUUGCUGCUUGUUUAAUUGCCUGCGGGAGUGUCUGGUUAGGAAAGCUAAACUAUAGCACAGCCCCCCUCCCCAAAAAGAAACCACAAAAAGGCCUGAUCCUGUCUUAGACUGCAGACAAAGAUGCGUGGGAGAAACUGAGGCACAGUCCAAGAUAAUAUAGGAAGAAAUAUCUAUCACAGCUCUUCUCUUUGCACAGGAUUGAGGGAGUUCUGUUUCCCAGCGGCUGGGUUCUUGGGCUGAGCCACUUCCAGCCCUGGCAAUGACUGUGCCAGUGGCAGGUUGGGAGGUGAGCCUGGGGGAUCUGUCUUUCUCCCCUUAUCUUGCACCCUGUGUCUUGGAGUUGCUCCAGAUGUGAGCUGGAAUCAGGAGGAGCAGUUAUGGGUGAAGUGGGACGGGCAGAUUAAAGUGGGCUGAAGAUUGGAGGGUGCUUAGGGGUAGGUGCAGUGGGGGGACCUACUGCAGCAGGACAGGGAACAAGGUGCAGUGGAAAGUCUGUAGAGCUCUGGGGACAUCUCUUUUCCACCCCAGGAACAUGUUUCCAUCUCAAUUCCCACACUUUUAAUAUCAUGGAACGUGUGAAAGUUUUUGCCAUCCCUCUGGUACGAAGCAUGAACCUCACUUGCACUGAUUUCCCUCAUCUAAAUUUCCUUGCACCUCUGAGCCUGGCUGCUUAGUGUCCUGCAUUGGGUCCAGGUCUGUGAUAUGUUUAAUUGGAGCCUCAUAAAGCUCUCUUUGCUUCUCCUGAAGGAACGUGGCUGAAUCUGGAGGGGGUAGAAACGUGUGAGAAGACAGACAGCUGUCCAGCUACAGCCCCGUGCUCUUCUCCCUGAGGAUCUGGACCAAGCAAAGUGUCUGGGGAGCGAUUUCAGCUUUGUUUGCCUGUGAGGGAUUAACUGGAGUUCUCAACCCUGGCAGCUGAGGAAGGAAUUGCCAUUUCAGAAACAUGGAAAUGCUGCGAUGCACUCAAUGGAGAUGCACCAUGAGACUGAUAACAGCUCCUGUGAACUCAGGUGGGGCUACAUGGCAGUGA